GUGAGGAAUUUUGCGCAAUGGGGGCAACCCUGACGCAGCGACGCCGCGUGGAGGACGAAGUCUUUCGGGAUGUAAACUCCUGUCAGUGGGGACGAUAAUGACGGUACCCACAGAGGAAGCACCGGCUAACUCCGUACCAGCAGCCGCGGUAAGACGGAGGGUGCAAGCGUUGUUCGGAAUUACUGGGCGUAAAGCGUAUGUAGGCGGCAAGUUAAGUUCAAUGUUAAAGCCCACGGCUCAACCGAGGAGAUGCAUUGAAUACUGGCUAGCUAGAGGGUGUUAGAGGAAGACGGAAUUCCCAGUGUAGCGGUGAAAUGCGUAGAUAUUGGGAGGAACAUCGGUAGCGAAAGCGGUCUUCUGGGACAUACCUGACGCUGAGGUACGAAAGCGUGGGGAGCAAACGGGAUUAGAAACCCCAGUAGUCC
rnacentral:rRNA from 1 species